rfam:Trichobilharzia regenti genome assembly, scaffold: TRE_scaffold0012759
GUACUGGUGAAGAGUCCCAAACUAGGACGAAACAGUUGUCCAGUAC